GGCCACGCCUUGGCCCAUGUCCUAGAGGGUCUCCAAGCCUGGAGGGGCCUCGAUGUACUAGUGCCUGAGGACUCAGGUCUGCCCCGCUGGGCCCAGGCCGGCAAGGAAUUGGGAGACCUUGGUGAUGACCUUGGGACUCCGAAGGCUGGGCCUGUGACAUCUGGACUCCUGCUUGGUGACAUGGGGAUCACCACAGUGACUGCUUCCAGAGAGCGGGUGUUAUUAUAAAGGCGCCCUUGCGGCCUUUGCCAUCCA